rnacentral:rRNA from 1 species
UACGUAGGGUGCGAGCGUUAAUCGGAAUUACUGGGCGUAAAGCGUGCGCAGGCGGUUCGUUGUGUCUGAUGUGAAAGCCCCGGGCUUAACCUGGGAAUGGCAUUGGAAACUGGCGAGCUGGAGUGUGGCAGAGGGAGGUGGAAUUCCACGUGUAGCAGUGAAAUGCGUAGAGAUGUGGAGGAACACCGAUGGCGAAGGCAGCCUCCUGGGCCAGCACUGACGCUCAUGCACGAAAGCGUGGGGAGCAAACAGG